ensembl:lncRNA
CCACACCGAACCUCCCACAGUCAAAACCUUUGUAUCCACAGAUUCACUGGAGUCAGCUGCAUCUUUUGGCAUACGCCGUUUCUCAGUUUCGAACACAUGCUUCGCGUAGUGCCGGCGAAAUGCACACUUCUUGGACCCCUGCAUAACUGCUUGCAGUUCUAGUUAGGGGUCCAAGCCAACAGGUUGGAUCCCUAUUGUUUUUGUAAGGAUUUUUAGGGGUCCAAGCCAACAGGUUGGAUCCCUAUUGUUUUUGUAGUGUUUGUUAUUAUUCCCCCGUAGAAGUGGGACCCCAGCCCAAACCGUAAAUGGUGCACACACGCCAAUUGCAUGACUAGAUCCAGGUACGUGAGAUGACGGCAGACGACCAAAUCCAGACAUGCCGGCCACUAGGUGGCGCUAUACCAAGGAA